rnacentral:rRNA from 1 species
UAAGGAAUAUUGCUCAAUGGGAGAAAUCCUGAAGCAGCAACGCCGCGUGGAGGAUGAAGGGUCUAUGACUUGUAAACUCCUGUAAAGAAGGAAAAAAUUCCCAUUAGAUGGGAGAUGAUGGUACUUCUGGAGUAAGCCCCGGCUAACUACGUGCCAGCAGCCGCGGUAAUACGUAGGGGGCAAGCGUUGUCCGGAUUUACUGGGUGUAAAGGGUGCUCAGGCGGACUUGUAAGUCAGAGGUGAAAUCUUACAGCUUAACUGUGAAACUGCCUUUGAUACUGCAAGCCUAGAGUAUGGAAGAGAGUGAUGGAAUAUCUGGUGUAGCAGUGAAAUGCGUAGAUAUCAGAUAGAACACCAAUGGCGAAGGCAGUCACUUGGUCCAUUACUGACGCUAAAGCACGAAAGCGUGGGUAGCAAACA